CCACCUUCCCCUGACCAAUCAACAUCCCCAAUUUUCCAUCCCCUCACCCUCCACAAUCCCCUUGAAACCUCAGCCCAGAACUCCUCCAGAAAAUGGGUU